rnacentral:pre_miRNA from 1 species
UGGCCGAUAUCAUUUUUGUGACCUGCAGCUUGUACCCUCGCCGCCCAGUUGCAUAGUCACAAAAGUGAUCAUCGGAGG